UACAGAGGUCUCAAGCGUUGUUCGGAUUCAUUGGGCGUAAAGGGUGUGUAGGUGGCGCGCUAAGUCGGGUGUGAAAUUUCGGAGCUUAACUCCGAAACUGCAUUCGAUACUGGCGUGCUUGAGGACUGGAGAGGAGACUGGAAUUCAUGGUGUAGCAGUGAAAUGCGUAGAGAUCAUGAGGAACACCGGUGGCGAAGGCGGCGCGCUGGGCUGGAACUGACGCUGAGGAGCGAAAGCGUGGGUAGCAAACAGG
rnacentral:rRNA from 1 species